rnacentral:misc_RNA from 1 species
AAACCACUCUGCAUAAUUCAUUCAAUAGUCCAAAUUAAUACAAUAAAAAAAAAAAGCAGAAGAAAAAUCAAAUGCAUAAACAGAUAAAUCUUCUUAAUCUAUUUGCAAUGGCUCAAUUGACUAGUUGAAAGGACACAUCGAGCAUGAUAAAAUAUAGUGAUAGUUGCCUACCUCCACACAUCUGACAAGAAAUAUAAUUCAAGGUAGAU